rnacentral:tRNA from 1 species
GGGGUUGUGGCUCAGAGGCAGACUGCUCACCUAGCAUGUGUGAGGCACUGGGUUCGAUCCUCAGCACCACA